rnacentral:rRNA from 1 species
UACGGAGGAUCCGAGCGUUAUCCGGAUUUCUUGGGUUUAAAGGGUGCGUAGGCGGCCUAUUAAGUCAGGGGUGAAAGACGGUAGCUUAACUAUCGCAGUGCCUUUGAUACUGAUAGGCUUGAAUGUACUUGAGGUAGGCGGAAUGUGACAAGUAGCGGUGAAAUGCAUAGAUAUGUCACGGAACACCAAUUGCGAAGGCAGCUUACUAAAGUAUGAUUGACGCUGAGGCACGAAAGCGUGGGGAUCAAACAGG